AUGCUCUGCUCAUCAUCUCCAGACAGAAAAUUACUCAUCGAACUAAAUACUCAACUUGGUACAGGCAACUUAAUUUACUUGGAUUCAGGGUACAAAAUAAUCACAGAAAUGCGCAGGCAGGAUUCUAUGUUCGCCACAUCAAAUAAUCAUAACUCUAAAUCACAGUUAAAUAAUGUAUGUGUAUCAAACCAAAGAGGAAGUUCUCCUGAACAUGCCGGUGGCCUCCUCCAUCUCCUUGAGGGUGAACACCAUGGAGCAGUUGCACUUCUUCGGCGCGGGCAGCGGCAGUGGCUCCUUCACCUGCCACAGCUCGGCCGUCUUGUACACCCCUGCAGAAGAAAAAAUCAGAUAACCAAAUUCUCAUGGCAUACUUUUUUUUUCUUUUGGAAGUUUUCAUGGCAUACUUUGAAGAAUGUUGCACUGAAGAAGCAGAUGAUCAUACAGUGA
rnacentral:rRNA from 1 species